UGGGGAAUAUUGGACAAUGGGCGAAAGCCUGAUCCAGCCAUGCCGCGUGUGUGAAGAAGGUCUUCGGAUUGUAAAGCACUUUAAGUUGGGAGGAAGGGCAUUAACCUAAUACGUUAGUGUUUUGACGUUACCGACAGAAUAAGCACCGGCUAACUCUGUGCCCGCAGCCGCGGUAAUACAGAGGGUGCAAGCGUUAAUCGGAAUUACUGGGCGUAAAGCGCGCGUAGGUGGUUUGUUAAGUUGGAUGUGAAAGCCCCGGGCUCAACCUGGGAACUGCAUCCAAAACUGGCAAGCUAGAGUACGGUAGAGGGUGGUGGAAUUUCCUGUGUAGCGGUGAAAUGCGUAGAUAUAGGAAGGAACACCAGUGGCGAAGGCGACCACCUGGACUGAUACUGACACUGAGGUGCGAAAGCGUGGGGAGCAAACA
rnacentral:rRNA from 1 species